rnacentral:rRNA from 1 species
GACAGAGGAGCCAAGCGUUGUCCGGACUGACUGGGCGUAAAGCGCCCGCAGGCGGCCGUGCGCGUGGGGUGUGAAAGCUCGCGGCUUAACUGCGAGAGGCCAUCCCAUACGGCACGGCUCGAGCCGUCCAGAGGCCGGUGGAAUUGCCGGUGUAGUGGUGAAAUGCGUAGAGAUCGGCAGGAACACCCAGGGGGAAACCAGCCGGCUGGGGGACGGGCGUGACGCUCAGGGGGCG